rnacentral:rRNA from 1 species
AUUGAACGCUGGCGGCAUGCCUUACACAUGCAAGUCGAACGGCAGCACGGGAGCAAUCCUGGUGGCGAGUGGCGAACGGGUGAGUAAUGUAUCGGAACGUACCUUUCAGUGGGGGAUAACGUAGCGAAAGUUAUGCUAAUACCGCAUAUUCUGUGAGCAGGAAAGCAGGGGAUCGCAAGACCUUGCGCUGAUUGAGCGGCCGAUAUCAGAUUAGCUAGUUGGUGAGGUAAAGGCUCACCAAGGCGACGAUCUGUAGCGGGUCUGAGAGGAUGAUCCGCCACACUGGAACUGAGACACGGUCCAGACACCUACGGGAGGCAGCAGUGGGGAAUUUUGGACAAUGGGCGCAAGCCUGAUCCAGCCAUGCCGCGUGAGUGAAGAAGGCCUCGGUUG